GAUGAACGCUGGCGGCGUGCCUAAUACAUGCAAGUCGAGCGAACAGAUGAGGAGCUUGCUCCUCGGACGUUAGCGGCGGACGUGUGAGUAACACGUGUAUAACCUACCUAUAAGACUGGUAUAACUUCGGGAAACCGGAUCUAAUACCGGAGAAUAUAUUGAACCGCAUUGGGCAUUGGUGAAAGACGGUUGUGGUGGCUCUUAUAGAGGGAUCCGGGCGGUUUUGUCUAGUUGGUAAGUUAACGGCCUACCAAGGGUACGAUGGGUAGCCGACCUGAGGGGGUGAUAGGCCACACUGGAACUGAGACACGGUCCAGAGUCCUAAGGGAGGGACCAGUAGGGAAUGUUCCGCAAUGGGGGAAAGCAUGACGGAGCAACGCGGCGUGAGUGAUGGAGGUCUUCGGAUCGUAAAAAUCUGUUAUGAGGGAAAAACAAAUGUGUAAGUAACUAUGCACGUCUUGACGGUACCUAAUCAGAAAGCCACGGCUAACUACGUG
rnacentral:rRNA from 1 species